rnacentral:rRNA from 1 species
AUGGCGGCCGUGAUGGCCUCCAUAACCAGCGAGCUCCUUUUCCUCCUGCCCUUCAUCCUCCUGGCCGUGCUCAGCUUCUACACCAUUACGGUGGCUAAAUGCCAUGCCGGCCGGACGAAGAAGAAGCGCCCGAAUCUGCCGCCCGGCGCCGUCGGUUGGCCCUUCAUCGGCGAGACCUUCGGGUACCUCCGCACGCACCCGGCCACCUCCAUCGGCCAGUUCAUGAACCAGCACAUCGCACGGUACGGGAAGAUAUACCGGUCGAGCCUGUUCGGGCACCCGACGGUGGUGUCGGCGGACGCAGGGCUGAACCGGUACAUCCUGCAGAACGAGGGGCGGUUGUUCGAGGUCAGCUAUCCGCCGAGCAUCGGCGGCAUCCUGGGCAAAUGGUCGAUGCUGGUGCUCGUCGGCCACCACCACCGCGAGAUGCGCUCCAUCGCCCUCGACUUCCUCAGCUCUGUCCGCCUCCGCGCCGUGCUCCUCCCGGAGGUGGAGCGCCAUACCCUCCUCGUACUCCGCGACUGGCUGCUUUCCACCUCCCCCGCCGUCUUCUCCGCCCAGCACGAAGCCAAGAAGUUCACUUAUAACCUGAUGGCGAAGAAUCUCAUGAGCAUGGACCCCGGCGAGGAGGAAACUGAGGGGCUGAGGCUGGAGUACAUCACGUUCAUGAAGGGAUUGGUGUCUGCGCCCCUAAAAUUCCCCGGGACGGCGUACUGGAAGGCCCUCAAGUCGUGGGCCACCAUACUUGGAGUAAUCGAGAGGAAAAUGGAGGAGAGGCUUGAGCAGAUGAACAAGGAGGACUCGAGUACAGAAGAAGAUGAUCUUCUCGGGUGGGCGAUGAAGCAGUCUAAUCUUUCAAAAGAGCAAAUAUUGGACCUCUUGCUGAGCUUACUCUUUGCCGGGCAUGAGACAUCGUCAGUAGCACUCUCCCUCGCUAUAUUCUUCCUCGAAGGUUGCCCUAAAGCCAUCAAACAACUGCGGGAGGAGCAUCUUGAGAUUGCUAGGAGACAGAAGCUGAGAGGGGAGUGCAAAUUGAGCUGGGAAGACUACAAAGAGAUGGUUUUCACACAAUGCGUUAUAAAUGAGACCUUGCGGCUAGGCAACGUCGUCAGGUUCCUGCACCGGAAGGUCAUUCGAGAUGUGCACUACAAUGGGUAUGACAUUCCGAGCGGAUGGAAAAUUCUGCCGGUGUUAGCGGCAGUGCAUCUCGACUCAUCACUGUACGAAGAUCCCAACAGCUUCAACCCUUGGAGGUGGAAGAGCAACGCAUCCGGCGUGGCGCACAAGAGCAACUUCAUGCCCUACGGCGGUGGCACAAGGCUCUGCGCUGGGUCGGAGCUCGCCAAGCUCGAGAUUGCCAUCUUCUUGCACCACCUGGUGCUAAACUUCCGGUGGGAGCUCGCCGAGCCGGACCAGGCGUUCGUGUACCCGUUCGUGGACUUCCCCAAGGGCCUGCCCAUUAGGGUCCAUAGGAUUACACAUGAGGAAGGAGAAGAGUAA